rnacentral:rRNA from 1 species
CCUACGGGCGGCAGCAGUGGGGAAUAUUGGACAAUGGGGGGAACCCUGAUCCAGCGACGCCGCGUGAGUGAAGAAGUAUUUCGGUAUGUAAAGCUCUAUCAGCAGGGAAGAAAAUGACGGUACCUGACUAAGAAGCCCCGGCUAACUACGUGCCAGCAGCCGCGGUAAUACGUAGGGGGCAAGCGUUAUCCGGAUUUACUGGGUGUAAAGGGAGCGUAGACGGUGCAGCAAGUCUGAUGUGAAAGGUCGGGGCUUAACCCCGGAACUGCUUUGGAAACUGUGCGGCUGGAGUGCAGGAGGGGUAAGCGGAAUUCCUAGUGUAGCGGUGAAAUGCGUAGAUAUUAGGAGGAACACCGGUGGCGAAGGCGGCUUACUGGACUGUAACUGACGUUGAGGCUCGAAAGCGUGGGGAGCAAACAGGAUUAGAUACCCCUGUAGUC